CCUACGGGAGGCAGCAGUGGGGAAUUUUGGACAAUGGGCGCAAGCCUGAUCCAGCAAUGCCGCGUGCAGGAUGAAGGCCUUCGGGUUGUAAACUGCUUUUGUACGGAACGAAACGGUGAGCUCUAAUACAGUUUGCUAAUGACGGUACCGUAAGAAUAAGCACCGGCUAACUACGUGCCAGCAGCCGCGGUAAUACGUAGGGUGCGAGCGUUAAUCGGAAUUACUGGGCGUAAAGCGUGCGCAGGCGGUGAUGUAAGACAGAUGUGAAAUGCCCGGGCUCAACCUGGGACCUGCAUUUGUGACUGCAUCGCUAGAGUACGGUAGAGGGGGAUGGAAUUCCGCGUGUAGCAGUGAAAUGCGUAGAUAUGCGGAGGAACACCGAUGGCGAAGGCAAUCCCCUGGACCUGUACUGACGCUCAUGCACGAAAGCGUGGGGAGCAAACAGGAUUAGAUACCCUGGUAGUCCACGCCCUAAACGAUGUCAACUGGUUGUUGGGUCUUCACUGACUCAGUAACGAAAGCUAAACGCGUGAAGUUGACCGCCUUGGGGGUUGCGGCCGCAAGGUUGAACUUAAAUGAGUUAGAGNGNGAGAGNGCGAGGAGACACGAGGAGGAG
rnacentral:rRNA from 1 species